AUUGAACGCUGGCGGCAUGCCUUACACAUGCAAGUCGAACGGCAGCGGACCUUCGGGUGCCGGCGAGUGGCGAACGGGUGAGUAAUAUAUCGGAACGUACCUUUCAGUGGGGGAUAACGUAGCGAAAGUUACGCUAAUACCGCAUAUUCUGUGAGCAGGAAAGCAGGGGAUCGCAAGACCUUGCGCUGAUUGAGCGGCCGAUAUCAGAUUAGCUAGUUGGUGAGGUAAAGGCUCACCAAGGCGACGAUCUGUAGCGGGUCUGAGAGGAUGAUCCGCCACACUGGAACUGAGACACGGUCCAGACUCCUACGGGAGGCAGCAGUGGGGAAUUUUGGACAAUGGGCGUAAGCCUGAUCCAGCCAUGCCGCGUGAGUGAAGAAGGCCUCGGUUGGUAAAGUACUCUUUCGGUCCGGGAACGGAAAGUACG
rnacentral:rRNA from 1 species